rnacentral:rRNA from 1 species
ACGGAAGGCAGCAGUGAGGAAUAUUGGUCAAUGGACGAGAGUCUGAACCAGCCAAGUAGCGUGCAGGAUGACGGCCCUAUGGGUUGUAAACUGCUUUUGUACGGGAAUAAAGUGACCUACGUGUAGGUUUUUGCAUGUACCGUAAGAAUAAGGACCGGCUAAUUCCGUGCCAGCAGCCGCGGUAAUACGGAAGGUCCGGGCGUUAUCCGGAUUUAUUGGGUUUAAAGGGAGCGUAGGCGGGCCUUUAAGUCAGUGGUCAAAGCGUGUGGCUCAACCAUACCACGCCGUUGAUACUGGAGGCCUUGAGUGCACAUAAGGAUGGUGGAAUUCAUGGUGUAGCGGUGAAAUGCUUAGAUAUCAUGAAGAACUCCGAUUGCGAAGGCAGCUGUCCGGGGUGUAACUGACGCUAAUGCUCGAAAGUGCGGGUAUCAAACAGGAUUAGAUACCCUGGUA